rnacentral:rRNA from 1 species
GAUGAACGCUGGCGGCGUGCAUAACACAUGCAAGUCGAACGAAGUGGCGGACGGGUGAGUAACGCGUGAGUAACCUGCCUUAGAGUAGGGGAUAGCCUUUGGAAACGAAGAUUACUACCCUAUACUCGAAGAGGGACUUUCGUGUGAAUAGUUAGGUGGUGAGGUAACGGCCAACCAAGACAGCGAUCAGUAGCCGGCUUGAGAGAGCGGACGGGAACAUUGGGACUGAGACAAGGCCCAGACUCUACGGGAGGGAGCAGUGGUGAAUUUUGCACAAUGGGGGAAACACGGAUGCAGCGACGCCGCGUGAUUUAGAAGGCCGUCGGGUUGGAAAAAUCUUUUAUAUGGGAAGCAGUACCAUAGGAAUAAGGACCGGCUAAUUACGUGCCAGCAGCCGCGGUAAUUC